rnacentral:rRNA from 1 species
GAUCCUGGCUCAGAUUGAACGCUGGCGGCAGGCCUAACACAUGCAAGUCGAGCGGUAGCACAGAGAGCUUGCUCUCGGGUGACGAGCGGCGGACGGGUGAGUAAUGUCUGGGAAACUGCCUGAUGGAGGGGGAUAACUACUGGAAACGGUAGCUAAUACCGCAUAAUGUCGCAAGACCAAAGUGGGGGGACCCUUCGGGCCGUCCAUGCCACUCAGAUGUGCCCACGAUGGGAG